rnacentral:tRNA from 1 species
GCCCGUUUAGCACAGUGGUAGUGCGUUCCACUCGUAAUGGAAAGGUCGCUCGUUCAAUCCGGGCAGGGGGCA